rnacentral:rRNA from 1 species
UUGUAAGUAAUUAAGAGCGUACGGUGGAUGCCUUGGCACCAGGAGCCGAUGAAGGACGUAGUAGGCUGCGAUAAGCCUCGGGGAGCUGUCAAACGAGCUGAGAUCCGAGGGUCUCCGAAUGGGGAAACCCAGCCACAGUGAUGUGUGGUUACCCGCGCCUGAAUAUAUAGGGCGUGUGGAGGGAACGUGGGGAAGUGAAACAUCUCAGUACCCACAGGAAGAGAAAACAAUAGUGAUUCCGUGAGUAGUGGCGAGCGAAAGCGGAAGAGGCUAAACCAUGUACAUGUGAUAGCCGGCAGGCGUUGUGUGCGUGGGGUUGUGGGGCCUUUCUUCUCAUCACUGCCGUGGUGGGCGAGAGUAAGAAACCGGGUUGUUAGUCGAAGUGGUCUGGAACGGCCUGUCGUAGAGGGUGAGAAUCCCGUAGACGAAAACUUCCCGGCUCUCGUGAAUGGUUCCCAAGUAGCAGCGGGCCCGUGAAAUCUGCUGUGAAUCUGUCGGGACCACCCGAUAAGCCUGAAUACUCCCUGGUGACCGAUAGCGGAC